rnacentral:lncRNA from 1 species
UGGCAAAGACAGUGACCUGAACAGGUACACUCACGUGAACAGCAGCACUACCAUCCGCCGUGCUAUUCUCGGAUCCAAACGGCGUCUCAGCUGGGGCACCACCAGGCGUCUCCACAGGCGGAGCAGGGGGUGAAGCAGCGAGAGGAGAUGGAGCCUCAACACUAGCCGGAGCUGGACUCGAUGCAACCGGACUCGGACUCGGUGCACUCACCGGUUCCCCUGCCGGGGCUGGAGACGGAGCUUUCCCGAACAACUCAACCGGUAGCAGCACAUUAUCAACAGUGAAAAUCACUAGCGGUGUUGAGUCAAGGACCGUUUCAGCAACUCGCGACGGACCGAUUCCAGUGUGUAGAGUCACCGAGUCACCCGCACUUGUAACCGUCAGAUCGAACUUACCUGCACCGUUACUAGCCAACGUAGAGAUCGGGUCUUUGCUAGUUUUCAAACUCCCAAACGGACUGUAAGUAGCCGUGGCAUGGUACUGUAAGAGCGAGACUAUUUC